AGAGCCUCAGACUCUGACCAUGGUUUGGGAAAACACAAGGUCAGAGUAAUGCUUCAUGGAAUCGGAGCGGUAGCUGGAGUGUGUAUAGAGGUGCUCAGGAAUCAGAGGAACCCCUAAGACUGCCAGGCUUGGGAAGGCUUUGAAUGAGAACACACAAACCUCAAACCCGAUUCAGAAUUCAGCAAGAGCUGGUCUGUAGAAUAAGAGCAUGUCUGGCAUAGUCAUGGUAAUGCCUGUCUGGGAAGAGCAUGGUUGUGUUCUGAAGAUGCCUGAGCAUUGAUGGUUUCACACACCUGUCCAAGGCUAACCAGGAGGAGAAAAGGAAAAGGUUAAAAAAUUCAACAUGAGACAGUAUAUGGCAAAUGGAAAUAUUCUUCUGCUAAGAUGAAUGAAGGAAAAAGGACUGUCUAUUGCAAGUUGCUCAUGGUGAUUUUGUCUGUCUAACAUCCUGAUCACUUACUGGCUCGAGAACAGCCUCAGAAAGUUGGGGUUUUUUUAAUCUCUUAUGAGAUUAUGAUGGUCUGGGACUUCCUUUUCUAGUAAAAUACUGGUUUUAUCUCCUUGCACACUUGCAAAACUUCACCCCUGGGACUGAAAUUUCCCAUAUCAAUGAUAAAUAUUUUGGCAAAGUUUCACUCUUGAAACAUUGAGUGAGACAAGAAAAGAUAUGUUUUGCCCUCGUGCCUUGCUAAAAAGAUGAGCAGCUCUUCUGUGAAAAGUCCUUGGAACUCUAAAAGGACUGCUAAGGAAAUUGCUAGAUGUUCAAGAGAGAUUUGCUUGUUUCUCUGAUAACACAUGGAUAUUUGAGAGAUUGUAAGCCAUUGAAGAGUCUCAAUCCAAGGAAAAGCAGUUAUGAUAAUGUUUCUUAGCUGGCCUUGCAGGCUUGUCCUACCAGAGCAUGUAUUCCCCAUUGCCAAAAGCCAGGAGUAUAAGGCUCCUCUCAGCUUCUUGGGACAAAGAAAAAGGAGUAAGGUUCUUCUGUGAACAGAAGAAACUGUCUUCUUCAUCCUGUUUUCUGGGAAAAUGGAUGAAGGCGCCAAUUCAAAUGCCUAAGUAACACUUAAAGGUGCUAGAAUAUAUUUUAAAAAACCAAACAAAACCCACACAAAUCUACAGAAUUCUUGGGUUUUUACAUGGAGACAAGGAGAGAGAGAGGCUGAGAGACACACAACCUGGAUGAAGUUCAGAAAAGCAUGAAACGUCCUUGAUUCCAGAUGACUAAUGCAGCAUUGAGCUUUAUGAGAAAAGGCAUUCUAAUAGGUCUUAA